UUUCUUUUCGGAAAUUCGAGCGGCAAACGGGCGAGUCACACGUAAACAACCUCGCUCUUUCAGGAAGGGGACAACAGACGGAAAACGACUCGCUAAUACCGAAUACGCUUCGGAAGAACCGCAUGAUUUUUCAAGGAAAGGGUCGGCCUCUACCUGUAAGCUAUCGCCUGAAGAGGGGUUUCGCGUCUGAUUAGGCAGUUGGUGAGGUAACGGCCCACCAAACCUACGAUCAGUAGCCGGUCUGAGAGGAUGGACGGCCACACUGGAACUGAGACACGGUCCAAACUCCUACGGGAGGCUGCAGUAGGGAAUUUUCGGCAAUGGGGGGAACCCUGACCGAGCAACGCCGCGUGAGUGAUGACGGCCUUCGGGUUGUAAAGCUCUGUUAAUCGGGACGAAAGGCCUUCUUGCCGAAUAGUUAGAAGGAUUGACGGUACCGGAAUAGAAAGCCACGGCUAACUACGUGCCAGCAGCCGCGGUAAUACGUAGGUGGCAAGCGUUGUCCGGAAUUAUUGGGCGUAAAGCGCGCGCAGGCGGAUAGGUCAGUCUGUCUUAAAAGUGCGGGGCUUAACCCCGUGAUGGGAUGGAAACUAUGGAUCUAGAGUAUCGGAGAGGAAAGUGGAAUUCCUAGUGUAGCGGUGAAAUGCGUAGAUAUUAGGAAGAACACCAGUGGCGAAGGCGACUUUCUGGACGAAAACUGACGCUCAGUCCCGAAAGCGUGGGGAGCAAAUAGGAUUAGAUACCCUAGUAGUCCACGCCGUAAACGAUGAGUACUAAGUGUUGGAGGUAUCGACCCCUUCAGUGCCGCCGCUAACGCAUUAAGUAUUCCGCCUGGGGAGUACGGUCGCAAGAUUAAAACUCAAAGGAAUUGACGGGGGCCCGCACAAGCGGUGGAGUAUGUGGUUUAAUUCGACGCAACGCGAAGAACCUUACCAGGUCUUGACAUUGAUGGACAGAACUAGAGAUAGUUCCUCUUCUCUCGGGAGACGAGAAAACAGGUGGUGCACGGCUGUCGUCAGCUCGUGUCGUGAGAUGUUGGGUUAAGUCCCGCAACGAGCGCAACCCCUAUCUUAUGUUACCAGCACGUUAUGGUGGGGACUCAUGAGAGACCGCCGCGGACAACGCGGAGGAAGGUGGGGAUGACGUCAAGUCAUCAUGCCCCUUAUGACCUGGGCUACACACGUACUACAAUGGGUGUCAACAAAGAGAAGCGAAACCGCGAGGUGGAGCGAACCUCAAAAACACACCCCCAGUUCAGAUUGCAGGCUGCAACCCGCCUGCAUGAAGUAGGAAUCGCUAGUAAUCGCGGGUCAGCAUACCGCGGUGAAUACGUUCCCGGGCCU
rnacentral:rRNA from 1 species